CCUACGGGAGGCUGCAGUGAGGAAUAUUGGUCAAUGGGCGCGAGCCUGAACCAGCCAAGUAGCGUGAAGGAUGACUGCCCUACGGGUUGUAAACUUCUUUUAUAAAGGAAUAAAGUGAGGCACGUGUGCCUUUUUGUAUGUACUUUAUGAAUAAGGAUCGGCUAACUCCGUGCCAGCAGCCGCGGUAAUACGGAGGAUCCGAGCGUUAUCCGGAUUUAUUGGGUUUAAAGGGGUCGUAGGUGGGUUGUUAAGUCAGUUGUGAAAGUUUGGGGCUCAACCGUGAAAUUGCAAUUGAUACUGGCAGCCUUGAGUACAGUUGAGGUAGGCGGAAUGCGUGGUGUAGCGGUGAAAUGCUUAGAUAUCACGAAGAACUCCGAUUGCGAAGGCAGCUUACUAAACUGCCACUGACAUUGAUGCUCGAGAGUGUGGGUAUCAAACAGGAUUAGAUACCCGAGUAGUC
rnacentral:rRNA from 1 species